rnacentral:rRNA from 1 species
GCCGUCACACCUAAAACCUGAACGCGUCGUCUACUUGCAAUGUUCCAACCAAGUGUUUAACUUGUGUUAGUUAACAAUCAUCACAUGACAUGCAUCAUGGCAAAUGUACUGCACGCACGGGGCACAUCUUACUAACCCACACACUUGUCAAUAUCAUGGGCAGUACCUGAAAAUUAGUGAAACAAAACAACUUGUUUGGUUCAGUACGGCGAAUUGUACCUAAAGGAAACCAACUUGCGUGUUAGCUGGUCGUCAGAAUGCCACGUCGUCCCGAUUGAAGAAAAUUGUGGCUGUGAAUCAGCAACGUUGCUCCACAGGGGAAAUGCACUUCGCACAUGUCUCCGCCGUCCCCCGGUCGAACAAGUACAGCUGCCCAGAGUUCUGGUCGUACAUGUCAGCUGCGAGACAGAAGCCUAUAGACUUUUGCAUGUGUGGGACCUGGCUCAUCCAAUACAGGCCAAAAAUAAAUGAAAUACGCGAGGGAUACGCGGCGAGGGGGAAUCCACAUGGCGUUUGCACGGCCUAGAUACAGGCCUGCCUGGUGCACGGCCGCUGUUCGCAUUUUCCGUGCUUCUAUUUGACUACCUAGUAAGCAACGCACAUUAAUAUUUAGACAAUAUAUUAUUUGCACGCGGAUAUUAAGUAUGAUAUUAUCUGUGUUAUAAUUUCUGUGAUUAUGUGAAUAGUUAACGUGUACGUGCAAUGCACGUUAAUUUAGAAGUAUAUUAAAUGCAUGCUGAUAUUAAGUAGUAGGAUAUUAUUAGCACUAUAUUUGGCAUGAAAUUAACGGCACAAUAAAUGUGUUGAGCGCUCGAUAUUGAAGCAGUCUAAGUCAUUGGAUUGACAUGAUUUGAUGGCCGAGAUUAAUUGAAUCUGCCUCUUUGGUUCUUUUUAUAUUGGUACAGAUACAGAUAUAGAUAUAGAUAUAGAUUGAUUAUAGCAAAAGAAAGAAAGAAAUCAUUUUCUCUGACCCAGCGUGUUACUACUAUCCUAAUUUGGUUAGUUUGGGCCCCUCCUCAAGCCACGAUGUGGGGAGGACCGACUUGCCGCUUAGGCGCCUGGCUCUAUGCCGUUCUGGACUCCUCCUCCUCUUUCUAGAUUUAUCCAAAUCCUUCUCCCUCAAUCUUUCUUUCCAUGCAUCCAAUCCUCAAUCCUCCGUCUCUGAUUUCCCAUCUCCAUUAUGCUUCGUUUACUUCCCAGCCGGAGCCCCAAAUUCCUCUAGAUCCGUCGGAGGAAGCCAUUCCCCCUUCUUUGAUCAUGGACCGGACGAAUCCGAGGCCGGAAUCCAAUCCACUACUGCUGCGAGGUCAUGGAGAUCCUAGUUUACCUCCGCCUGGAUCCUCUUCGGUUCAAGCCCCCAUAGAGGCCAUGCUUUCUUUGGAUUUGCAGGCACUCAAUCUGCAAGAUCCAGAAAUUGCCUCUGUUCAAGCAGCCCAAGAAACAAUGGAGCUUGGAGCAGAUGCGAAGUUCAACAUGCUCAUCAUUCUCGCAGCCACUGGAAUGAGUCCAGCUAGAGUACUAAAUUUGCAAACUCUGCAACAGGCAAUGGCCAAAGCUUGGAGAAGUAAUUAUCAUGGGAUAUCUCAGGUAUCAAGGUCGAUGUUCAUGGCUCAUUUUAGAACAUUAGAAGCUAUGAUGUUUGUUAUCACAAGACAGCCUUGUAUUAUGGGUUCUGAUAAUCUGUUGUUGGAGUGGCUCGAUCCUUCUGAUGAGGCAAAAGAAAAGGAGGACUAUCGGUUUGACACUAUAUACGUCACCAUCAGGAUUUACGGGGUUCCAAGAAGUUUCAGAUCAAUUCAAUUGCUUAGAAGUAUUCUGGAACAGGUGGGAGAGCCAUCUGAAUUUCAUCCACUUCAUCAGGGUAUGUUAUAUGCUAAAGCAGAGUAUAUGUGGGGUACUGCUAGGUUGCAGAUUAAUAGUCCAAUUAAGGAUAGGAUUAUGGUCAACUUUCCAAAUGAAUCAUCUGGCUUAGCUUAUCUGUUCUAUGAGAAAAUUGGGAGAAUCUGCACUUUCUGUGGAAUUAUGUUCCACAAUGUUCAGGGAUGUCCUCUCAGGAAUCAGAUUAUCUUAAACAGGCAAAAAAGAGGAAUUUCUACUACAGAUGUUCCAUCAAAGAGAUUUGGAGAAUGGAUCAAUACUCUAGAGCUCAUUUCUCAGUUUGAUACAGCAAAUAGAAGUUCUUUCAAUCCAGUUUUCAGUUCACAUCAGAAUCCUCAACUUACUAGAUUCCAACGUUUAUUUGCCGAGGAGUCAAAAAGAAAAAACUCGACUUCGGUUGCUUGCCCAACAGAAUUCAGCAACGAAAAAGAUAAUGAGAAGUUAGCCAGAAACUACCAUCAGAAAGGUUCAACUUCACACACUAAAACUUCAACUAUAAAGGAGUCACAUAACAUUUACCAUGGUGGCAGCCAGAUACCAAUUGAUGUUUACGACAGAGAUCAGACUCAAUGUGGUCUGGUUGUGGGGGGAUCUAAUGGAAACCAUCCUGACACGAUUCAACUAGUGGAUGUUGAAGGGGCUCAAAACAUCAAUAUGGCGGCCAGUCAGUUUGAACAGCAAAUAGAUUCAGGACAAACUAUCAACACUCAACAUGCAGAGAACGCUUCAGUACAUGAACGACAAUCAUACCAGCCCUCUCAGACCUUGGAUAUGGUACCUUACACUCCUAGAGAAGAAUCAAAUAUUCUCCAAAAGUUUGGGUCACACUUAGGCCAGCAACAUGAUAGGUACAAACAGGAUACAGGAUCCGCAGCUGCCUCUCAGCAUGAUCAUUCUAUUCCAGCUUUGUUGCCUGAAAAUCCCAGUGUGCAAGGCAUAACUGCAACUCAAAUCACUCAGGCCUUUGCGACUACUGCCUUGCCGAUUUCCAACGCUCAACAUUCACCUACUAUUUCUGUCCAGAACCAUAGCCACCAAUCCAAUCCAAAUCCUUCUGAAUUAUAUGGUUCUCCUCAGUUGUAUCCUAGUUCUAAGCGUCCAUGCUCCUCCAUUCUAGGCCCGCCUCCGCCACCACCAAAGAAACGCUUUCCCCGACAGAAUGCUCAAGAUAGAAGCUCCCUCUCCUCUGAUGUCCUCCCAAUGGACCAGGAAGUGCAUGCUGCAGAGAGGCCUCCAUCUGUUCUUGGUUGCAGGCCAAAAUUAAGAGGCAGCCGCUGGGAUAUCCCUCCUGGAGGUGGAUCGUCAAGUUUCCAAGCCAAUAUACAGGGGAGUCGCCGCGUUUGGAUCCGUGGACAGCACUCUACUUCUCCUCGGGCUUCAUAUGACCAUUCCAGGCUUCGAUCGCCUUCGCCAUCUCUUAGUGCAGAUGUGUUUGAUCACCAUAUCCAGGUGGGUAUGGGUGAUGAUCGUCCUGGCAAUCUUUCCGGAGUCUCAACUCCAGUUCAAGAUCAAGAUGAUCCUACUACUGUUCGAGGUAGUAACAGAAUGGAUAUUGAGGAAGUUCAAUUGGGAGAGUCUAUGGACUAUGACUGGGCAGCGGCGCAUGGCCCUAACGCGCCUCGGUCAACAUGAGACUAAUUGCAUGGAAUUGCCGAGGGAUGGGGCGAGGCCUCGGCAAUGAAAGAAUGACGUACCUCGCUAAGCUCAUUCACUCCACAAAAGCUCAGUUCCUUCAAGAGGAUCCUCUGGUGGUCUUUGGCUGAUGUGGAAUGAUGAGCUUCAAGUUCAUGUGCAUACGGCUUCCUUCUAUGUUAUAUUAGCAAACGUUGUACAUAUUGCUACGGGUAGGGAUUUUGGGCUUGUUUGUAUCUAUGGUGAUCCAUAUCAUAGACAAACUGAUGUGAUUUGGGAUCAAAUUUCUAAUUUUGUGUAUGAUAAUCCUGGCAAGCCUGUAUUAUGUAUGGGAGACCUUAACGAGCUUUUGUAUGAUAUGGAUAAAAGUAAUGUUAAUGUGAAUCAUCGUCGCUUGCAUGCCUUUCGUGCUUUGAUUAAGAACUGUGGUUUUUUUGAUUUGGGAUUUUCGGGGCCUGCUUAUACUUGGACAAAUAGAAGAUUUUCUUCCAAUCCUACUUAUGAAAGGCUUGAUAGAGGAUUAGUUAAUCCUGAUUGGUGUGAUGAGUUUCCCCAUACUAAAGUUCUGAAUCUUCCUAUUAUUCUUAGCGAUCAUGCUCCUAUCUUUAUUACCACUGAAGGUCAAUACAAAAAACCUAAGCAAACUUUCAAAUUUGAUAAUUGGUGGCUGAAAGAAAAUGAUUUUCAAUCUUUUGCAAAGAAUGCUUGGGCCUCUAGUACAAACAGAAAUUUUUCUGCUCGUACUAACAAUCUUGCAGGUGCUCUGAAAGUGUGGUGCAAAAAGAAGAAACCUUUACAGCAGGAACUCUCCAGCCUAGAAGAACAAAUCAACCGUAUUCAAAUGCAGCCUCUAUCCAUGCAGGACCAUCAACUGGAAUCAGCACUCAUUGUCAGGUAUGAACAAAAUAUGUCGAAGCUUACUGAUUUCUAUAGACAAAGGGCUAAGAAGAAUUUUGCAACAAAAGGGGACAGGAACACAAAAAUUUUUCAUCAUGCGGUGCUUAAAAGAAGAAAGAAGAACACUAUAGUUUCAAUAAAAGAUGAGAAUGAUAACAUUCACUUCAAUCCUCAGGCCAUUGCAAAUACUUUUGUUAGCUACUUCAGAUAUAUUUUUGCUUCUCCUAAUGUGAAUGUGGGCAGACCUUUUCUAGCAUCCAGGAUCAUUUCUAACAGCCAUGACUACACGUAUAGCAUACCAGAUAAGGAGGAGAUCCUUAAUACUCUCAAGGAUAUGAAGAUAAACGCCUCUCCUGGACUCGAUGGAUUCAAUGUAGAAUUCUAUAUUGCCACUUGGAGCUGGAUUGGUGAUGAUGUUACGACUAUGGUAAGGAACUUUUACCAAACAGGUAUAAUGCCUUCGCACAUUAGUGAUACUCACAUUGCUCUUAUUCCUAAGAAGUUAGUUCCUCGAAUUCCUUCAGAUUAUCGGCCUAUAAGUCUUUGUAAUGUCAUUUACAAAAUCAUUUCCAAAACCUCGGCCAAUAGACUCAAACCUCAUCUCCCUGAUUAUAUUGAUCAUUCUCAACAAGCUUUCAUUGAGGGUAGACGCAUAUCUAACAAUAUCAUCUUGGCUCAGGAGAUAACUCAUUCGUUUGCUCUUAAAUCUUGGAAACAACAAGCUUUCUUGCUUAAAAUUGAUUUGGCUAAGGCUUUCGAUCGACUUGAAUGGAAUUUCAUCGUUUCGGCUCUUUCGCGAAAGGGGUUGCACGGUCAUUUCAUAAAUUUGGUGUAUGCUUGCAUCUCUUCCCCAAGGUUCUCAGUCAUUAUUAAUGGCCAGCCUUUUGCAAAUUUUCGUAGCAAUAGAGGUUUAAGACAAGGUUGUCCCUUAUCGCCUUAUCUGUUUGUUCUUGCUAUUAAUGAGCUUUCUUUAAGCCUGCAUGAUGCUAUGAUACAAAAUCAACUGUCUGGCAUUUCUCUUGGUCCAAACUGUCCACCUAUUCAUUCAAUGCUUUUUGCUGAUGACUUGUUAGUUUGUGGUAAUGCCACAGUUCAGGAAGCUGCCCAAAUGGCUCAUCUCAUCAACCACUUCUGUUCCCAAUCAGGUCAGACUCCAAAUUGGCACAAAUCUUCUAUUCUUUUUAGUGCUACUGUCUCCCAGUCUCUAGCCCAACAUAUUAAUAAUAUUUUCCCAGUUACCCUUAUUGAUAGUACAUCAACUCACCUUGGCCACCCUCUCAUCCUUCCUGCAAAGGACCGUGCUUCGGCUUACAACUUUGUUUAUGAUAAAUUCAAGAAUAAGCUUCCCACUUACAAAGCUGAUAAAUUAUCCCAUGCUGCUAGACUUGAGCUUAUCAAUUCGGUGUUCGCUUCCAUACCUGUUUACUAUAUGUCCAAUAUCCUCUUUCCAAAAAAAUUCCUUGCGAAGCUCACGGCAAUCAUUCGUAAUUUUUGGUGGGUUGGUGUUAGAGAGGAAGCUAGUGCAAGAGCUUUAUGUCUUAGGGCUUGGAAAGAUAUUUGUACUCCUAAAAAAGAAGGUGGAUUGGGAAUCAAAAACAUGUUGGCUAUGAAUCAAGGUCUCCUUCUUGCGGCUGCCUGGAGACUUGCUGAAAAUCCAGAAAGCCAAGUCUAUCAAGUUCUCCGUGCUAAGUAUUUUCCUGAUUCUUCCAUUUGGAGAGCUACUCCGAAUACUCCGAAAUCUGCUUUCUGGACUUCUAUUCUCAAGGUCUUGCCGAUGCUCAAGGAGCAUUCUUUUUAUCAGAUCACCCAAGGCAACAUUUCUAUUUGGAGCUCACCUUGGUGUACCACUUGGGAGAACAUAUACGAUCACCUUAUUGUCCAACAUAGUGCUUUUAUUUACCCGGCUAAGGUCUCUGAUCUUUGGCUUCCAGGCCAAAAACUUUGGAAUUCUGAGUUCAUUACUAACCUUUUUCAGGAACCGACUGCUUCGGCUAUUAUUGCAACUCCUAUAGUUCUUGAUGAUAGUAGGGAUAUCCUUUGUUGGAAGCCCACUCCUUCUGGUAAGUGCAAUUCUAAGAGUACAUAUAAGUUGUGUUUACAACAAAUUCAUAAUUUGCAGGUAAAUCAACCAAGACAGGUGAACCAAUCAACCAAAGAUAUUUUGCAGCAAGUCUGGAAGCACAAAUUCAUGGCUCCAAGGGUUAAAACUUUUGCGUGGCGCUUACUUAGGCAUGCUCUCCCAACUGGUCUUAGAGCUGGCAGGUUUUCCUCUCAUAUUUCUUCUACAUGCUCUAGAUGUGAUUCAGAUGAAGAUGAAAUGCAUAUUUUCUUUCUUUGCAACUUUGCUAGAGCCUCUUGGUUCGGACACCCCUGGUAUAUUAGAUCUGAUAUUCUUGCUCUCAAUCAUAAUUCUGUUCUUGAUAUUAUUCAGGUUCUAAUUAACAUGAACCAUCCGCAAUCAUCUAUUCCUAAUAUAUUUACCUUCUUGUGGUGUUUGUGGAAAGCAAGAAACGAUGUUCUUUUUUGUAGGAAAGAAUCACAUCCCCAUCAGGUUCACCAAGCUGCUCUAGCCAUCGCCUCUGUCCAAGAUAUACAAGAUCCCCAAGAACACCUAAAUAGGGAGCUGCCUUCAUCGAAGGAGAAGCAAUCUACAACCAUACUCUCUCAAGGGCAAGAACAAGUACAGCAAGGCUCCACCCUCAAAUCUGACUUGGCUAUUUCAGGUAACAAAAUAUAUUAAGACGCUUCUUGGCAUAAGAAGAAUGUGCCUGGGUAUGGUGGUAAUCCGGCUACUGGUAUUGGUGUUCACAUCCUUUUCCCUGAAGAGGGUUCUGAUUCAAGAAUAAUGAUUCAAGCCUCUACUCAUGAUGUUUGUUCACCUCUUAUUGCUGAAGUUUAUGCACUUCUAUUUGCUGCUAAAAUCUCUUGCAGGCUUCAACUUCAGCAAGGUUCUUUUCUCACUGACAAUCUUUCAUUAGCAAAGAUGGCUGCUUCAAGAGAUAUCAAUAACACCAACAUCAGCUGGAGGUGCAGACAACCAAUUAGCGAGUUCUUUCAAAUCUCCCUUUCUCUUAAUGCUGUUUAUCACAUCUCUAGGAAUACCAAUGGAAUUGCUCACAAUUGUGCUCAUCAGGUUCUCAACUCGAGAGUAGAACCUGUCUUUAGUUGUUCACGUUCCUCUCAUGCCAAUGUACCUUGCCCUUUUCUGCAGUCCCUUCUCAAUUUUCAAGUUCAGGGCUAUGUAAUUCAUGUUGUACAUUGUCUAUGA